rnacentral:rRNA from 1 species
UACGAAGGGGGCUAGCGUUGCUCGGAAUGACUGGGCGUAAAGGGCGCGUAGGCGGCUCAUACAGUCAGAUGUGAAAUUCCUGGGCUUAACCUGGGGGCUGCAUUUGAUACGUGUGGGCUUGAGUGGGGAAGAGGGUCGUGGAAUUCCCAGUGUAGAGGUGAAAUUCGUAGAUAUUGGGAAGAACACCGGUGGCGAAGGCGGCGACCUGGUCCUUGACUGACGCUGAGGCGCGAAAGCGUGGGAGCAAACGGG